rnacentral:rRNA from 1 species
GAUGAACGCUGGCGGCGUGCCUAAUACAUGCAAGUCGAGCGAACAGACGAGGAGCUUGCUCCUCUGACGUUAGCGGCGGACGGGUGAGUAACACGUGGAUAACCUACCUAUAAGACUGGGAUAACUUCGGGAAACCGGAGCUAAUACCGGAUAAUAUAUUUAACCGCAUGGUUCAAUAGUGAAAGACGGUUUUGCUGUCACCUAUAGAUGUAUCCCCGCCUAAUUAGCAGGUUGGUAAGGUAACGGCUUACCAAGGCAACGAUGCGUAGCCGACCUGAGAGGGUGAUCGGCCCCACGGGAACUGAGACACGGUCCAGACUCCUACGGGAGGCAGCAGUAGGGAAUCUUCCGCAAUGGGCGAAAGCCUGACGGAGCAACGCCGCGUGAGUGAUGAAGGUCUUCGGAUCUUAAAACUCUGUUAUUAGGGAAGACCAAAUGUGUAAGUAACUAUGCACGUCUUGACGGUACCUAAUCAGAAAGCCACGGCUAACUACGUG